CCUACGGGAGGCAGCAGUGGGGAAUAUUGGGCAAUGGGCGCAAGCCUGACCCAGCAACGCCGCGUGAAGGAAGAAGGCUUUCGGGUUGUAAACUUCUUUUGUCAGGGACGAAGCAAGUGACGGUACCUGACGAAUAAGCCACGGCUAACUACGUGCCAGCAGCCGCGGUAAUACGUAGGUGGCAAGCGUUAUCCGGAUUUACUGGGUGUAAAGGGCGUGUAGGCGGGACUGCAAGUCAGAUGUGAAAACCACGGGCGCAACCUGUGGCCUGCACUUGAAACUGUAGUUCUUGAGUACUGGAGAGGCAGACGGAAUUCCGAGUGUAGCAGUGAAAUGCGUAGAUAUUAGGAGGAAAACCAGUGGCGAAGGCGGUCUGAUGGACAGCAACUGACGCUGAGGCGCGAAAGCGUGGGGAGCAAACAGGAUUAGAUACCCCAGUAGUC
rnacentral:rRNA from 1 species